AAGUCGUAACAAGGUUUCCGUAGGUGAACCUGCGGAAGGAUCAUUAGUGAAUAAACUUGGUCAAGCUGUUGCUGGUCUUUAGAGGCAUGUGCACGUUUGGCUAUUGUUUUUAACCACCUGUGCACUUUUUGUGGACUUUGGAAUUUUUAAAAACAAAAAUUUGUUUUGCUUGGGGGAAUUGCUUGAUAAAGCUUUCCCUGUUUUUCCAAGUCCAUGUUUUUAUAACAUACCCAAUGAAAUGUAUAGAAUGUAUUUUGGGCUUGAUGCCUAUAGAAAUAUAAUACAACUUUCAACAACGGAUCUCUUGGCUCUC
rnacentral:misc_RNA from 1 species